GAUCCUGGCUCACAACGAACGCUGGCGGCAGGCUUAACACAUGCAAGUUGAACGUGAUUUGUUGGGUGCUUGCACCGAGCAAUGAAAGUAGCGCACUGGUGAGUAACACGUGGGAACGUACCUUUUGGUGGGGAACAACAGUUGGAAACGACUGCUAAUACCGCAUAAGCCCUGAGGGGGAAAGAUUUAUCGCCGAAAGAACGGCCCGCGGAAGAUUAGGUAGUUGGUGGGGUAACGGCCUACCAAGCCGACGAUCUAUAG
rnacentral:rRNA from 1 species